CACGUAGGGCGCAAGCGUUGUCCGGAAUUAUUGGGCGUAAAGAGCUCGUAGGCGGUCUGCCGCGUCCGCUGUGAAAUCCAGGGGCUUAACCCCUGGCUUGCAGUGGAUACGGGUGGACUAGAGGUAGGUAGGGGAGAAUGGAAUUCCCGGUGUAGCGGUGAAAUGCGCAGAUAUCGGGAGGAACACCGGUGGCGAAGGCGGUUCUCUGGGCCUUACCUGACGCUGAGGAGCGAAAGCGUGGGGAGCGAACAGG
rnacentral:rRNA from 1 species